rnacentral:rRNA from 1 species
GAUGAACGCUAGCGGCAGGCCUAGCACAUGCAAGUCGAGGGGCAGCACAGAAACAGCAAUGUUUUGGUGGCGACCGGCGGACGGGUGCGUAACGCGUAUGCAACCUACCUUUAACAGGGGGAUAACGGAGAGAAAUUUCCACUAAUACCCCAUAACAUCUAACAAGGAAUCUUGAUUGGUUGAAAACUACGGUGGUCAAAGAUGGGCAUGCGUGGUAUUAGGUAGGUGGUGAGGUAAUGGCUCACCAAGCCUACGAUACAUAGGGGGGAUGAGAGGUUAGCCCCCCACACUGGUACUGAGACACGGACCAGACUCCUACGGGAGGCAGCAGUGACGAAUAUUGGUCAAUGGGGGCAACCCUGAACCAGCCAUGCCGCGUGCAGGAAGACGGCUCUAUGAGUUGUAAACUGCUUUUAAACAGGGAUAAAGCACAGUAUGUAUACUGUGUUGAAGGUACUGUAAGAAUAAGGAUCGGCUAACUCCGUGCCAGCCGCCGCAGUAA